rnacentral:rRNA from 1 species
CCUUCCGCAAUGUGAGAAAUCGUGACGGGGGGAUCCCAAGUGCCAUUCUUAACGGGAUGGCUUUUCUUAAGUGUAAAAAGCUUUUGGAAUAAGAGCUGGGCAAGACCGGUGCCAGCCGCCGCGGUAACACCGGCAGCUCUAGUGGUAGCUGUUUUUAUUGGGCCUAAAGCGUUCGUAGCCGGUUUAAUAAGUCACUGGUGAAAUCCUAUAGCUUAACUGUGGGAAUUGAUGGUGAUACUGUUGAACUUGAGGUCGGGAGAGGUUAGCGGUACUCCCAGGGUAGAGGUGAAAUUCUGUAAUCCUGGGAGGACCACCUGUGGCGAAGGCGGCUAACUGGAACGAACCUGACGGUGAGGGACGAAAGCUAGGGGCGCGAACCGGAUUAGAUACCCGGGUAGUCCUAGCCGUAAACGAUGCGGACUUGGUGUUCGGGUGGCUUUGAGCCGUUCCCGUGCCGAAAAGGGAAGUUGUUAAAUCCGCCGCCUGGGAAGUACGGUCGCAAGGCUGA